rnacentral:rRNA from 1 species
AUUGAACGCUGGCGGCAGGCCUAACACAUGCAAGUCGAACGAGUGGCGGACGGGUGAGUAAUUUCUGGGAAACUGCCUGAUGGAGGGGGAUACCUCCUGGAAACGGUAGCUAAUACCGCAUACAAUCGAAUGUGCCCAGAUGGGAUUAGCUAGUGGGUGGGGUAACGGCUCACCAAGGCGACGAUCCCUAGCUGGUCUGAGAGGAUGACCAGCCACACUGGAACUGAGACACGGUCCAGACUCCUACGGGAGGCAGCAGUGGGGAAUAUUGAACAAUGGGCGCAAGCCUGAUACAGCCAUGCCGCGUGUAUGAAGAAGGCCUUCGGGUUGUAAAGUACUUUCAGCGGGGAGGCGUUACCCGCAGAAGAAGCACCGGCUAACUCCGUGCCAGCCGCCGCGGUAAUUC